rnacentral:ncRNA from 2 species
UCAUCCACCACGGGAGAACCGGCGAAAGUGCCGGUGCCGAAGGAGCAACCGCCCCGGAAACUCUCAGGCCAAAGGACCGUCGUGGUGUC